AUCCAGCCGAUGAAUCCUAAAUAAGAACGAAAUGCGCGUCCUGGAU
rfam:Schistosoma mansoni strain Puerto Rico chromosome 4, complete genome